rnacentral:rRNA from 1 species
GACGUAGGGCGCGAGCGUUGUCCGGAUUUAUUGGGCGUAAAGAGCUCGUAGGCGGCUUGUCGCGUCGAAUGUGAAAACUCGGGGCUCAACUCCGAGCUUGCAUUCGAUACGGGCAGGCUAGAGUUCGGUAGGGGAGACUGGAAUUCCUGGUGUAGCGGUGAAAUGCGCAGAUAUCAGGAGGAACACCGGUGGCGAAGGCGGGUCUCUGGGCCGAUACUGACGCUGAGGACGAAAGCGUGGGGAGCGAACAGGG